UAUGGAAACAAGAGCAUGAAAUAUCUCAAUUUCUACGUCUCUUAUGAAUUGAAUACGAAUGUUCUGCACUAGGUUGAACCGUUCGCAAAGAACUGAGCUCUUCAGAUGUCAGAAACAGGAGCUAGAUUCCGAGGUGUUUCCAAAUAAUCUGGCAGGGACUAGCGGAUCGCACAUAGGAACGCAGUUUCUGUGGUGUGAAAGAGUAGAAAAUGGAAGAGUAAGGAAAACUAAUCGUCAUGGUUGUAAAUCUCAGCGUAAUGAGACGCCCUGCCAUUUGACAUAGGAUCGUUGGACAGAUUGRAAAAAAAAAGGAGUCUGGAAUCUGUAGCGCUGUAAGGACCUCAAGCAGYGUAUCCCUACGAUAGGAUGGCGUCCGAAAGACCUGUUGUCUCGAACUUUGAUGUUCAUUGGUGGAACGUACAGUUCUUCUUUGGCAUCAGGCAAGGAGUGGUUGUUUCGUCCCUCAUGCCAGACGUUCAUCACUAAAGCGCUCGACGCCAGUGUCAUCCAGUUGAGAUUUAGAAGUUAUAUUUUUGGAGGGAGAAAAACCGRAGAACCUGGAGAAAGACCCUUGAAGCAUAGGAGUGAACCAACAAGCAGUUCAGUUCAACAGAAGGGGUGAACCCCCAACCACAGAAGGGGUGCAUUAGCACCGCACGCCAUCCGCCCUACACACAAGCGCGUGCGCACACCUACCACAUCAAAGAAGAACAACGGUUGAUCAAAGUUUGGAUUCUUGUUAGUAUUCUUGAUGGCGUCAGAUUGAAUCACGUGACCACCACAUUCAAACUCGACGCUUGGAGACGUGACGUUUGCCAACUGAUAUUUCUUCAUGUUCCUCACACCCCAACACAACACCUAAAAUAACACAUUAAAUAAAUAAACUCAAAAUAGACCUUUUUUCAA